AUUGAACGCUGGCGGCAGGCCUAACACAUGCAAGUCGAACGAGUGGCGGACGGGUGAGUAAUGUCUGGGAAUCUGCCUGAUGGAGGGGGAUAACUACUGGAAACGGUAGCUAAUACCGCAUACCAUCGGAUGUGCCCAUAUGGGAUUAGCUGGUAGGUGGGGUAACGGCUCACCUAGGCGACGAUCCCUAGCUGGUCUGAGAGGAUGACCAGCCACACUGGAACUGAGACACGGCCCAGACUCCUACGGGAGGCAGCAGUGGGGAAUAUUGCACAAUGGGCGCAAGCCUGAUGCAGCCAUGCCGCGUGUAUGAAGAAGGCCUUAGGGUUGUAAAGUACUUUCAGUCGGGAGGCGUUACCGACAGAAGAAGCACCGGCUAACUCCGUGCCAGCCGCCGCGGUAAUUC
rnacentral:rRNA from 1 species